AUCUUACUUACAAUAAAUAAUACAUACUACAAAAUGCAUAGUCAUUUUAAGUAACACUUAAAUGAUUUAUUUUAGGUAACACAUAAGAGAAUUCCCGCAACUUUGCAUUGCAUAGUUAUAAUUAUAGGUCUUUUGAUAUAUAAAAUAGUCCGUAAAGUUAAAUGGUCAAUAUAUUCAUCAUCUAACCAUCCCGUAAAUGUUCAUUUUGAUGUUAAUUUAUAAAGAUAUAAUUUGAAUUUUUAUUUUUAAUUAAACUGUUGUCAAAUAUAUAUAUUAUAUAGGUAAAGUAUUUUUUUUUUAUUGUUUAUUUAUUGUGAAAUGGAGGAAUUAAUAAAAUGUAUAGAUUUUAUUCAAUUCGUUGAAGAACCUACGCCAAGACGGGAUUCGGAAUUCUAUAAAAUAUAUAGUUUUUAUAUUUUUGUAAUAAAAUAAUGAACAAAAUGCAUAAUAAUAUCAUUAUAAUAAUGAAUAAUAGGUUUCCCAGAGAAACAAUAGGUAGUAGAUGUAGGUAUUGUUGGACCUGAUUUUAAAUUUAAGCUAUUCGACCAAAAGUGGUUUACCAAUUACUCCCAUAUUACAACUGCUAACUGCUUUAAGAUUUUAUGUAUCAUCAAAUUUCCAAGUAACACAAUAGCAAUAAUAAUAUUUUUAGAUUCUAAGUGUAGCGAAGAAUGCAUUGGUUUUACAAAUAUAUAUAUAUAUAUUUUUU